rnacentral:sRNA from 1 species
GUAUGACACGCCUUUGGCGUGUCUCCUCCCUGAACCUUGGCCACCGCGUGCUCGCACGCGGUGGUUUUUUUUAUUCGGC